rnacentral:SRP_RNA from 12 species
ACUGGGAGGUUGGCAUCUUCUGUAAUCACGCUUCUGUGAGGUCUGAUUGUGGGAUACCCUGAGACCGGGAGUUCUGUGCAGUGGACUUGUUCAUGUUGACGGAACGUCCGCACUAAGCUUGCCAUCAACAUGGGCGCCAAAGAGGAAUCUUCGGCGUUCAGGUUGCUAAGGAGAGAUGUAACGGGCCAGGGGUGAAAACCAGCAGCCAAGAGUUUCCGUGGUAUGCAGUAGUGGGAUAGCGUACCGGAGUGAAACGCCAUUGUCAGCCCGGUUAAUAUGGUUAGACCACAAUCUUU